rnacentral:tRNA from 1 species
GCCCGGGUGGCGGAAUGGCAGACGCAGAAGGCUUAAACCCUUCGGAUCCUCCGGGGUCGUGUGGGUUCGAAUCCCACCCCGGGCA